UGGCUCAGAGGUUAAAGCGUCUGCCUGCAAUGCAGGAGACAUGGGUUCGAUCCCCU
rnacentral:tRNA from 1 species